rnacentral:lncRNA from 1 species
GGACCCACAGAAAGCAGCGAUGAUGCCACGGUGAUUUAUAUAGGUGCUGUCACGUGAAGGAAAGUUGAGGGUGUGUGGUCCCGGACGCAGCAUGCGCAGCAGCGAUGGGGCCGCACAGGCAAGGCAGCAGGAACCAGGCACCAUUGUUGACGCUCGGAGUCGGAUGCAAGGCUGAGCCCUGCGGACGUGGUCCUUGGGUGCCAUAGCCGCUGACCAGCAAUGUCGUCGAGCAGAAGUCGGGGGCCGGGUGCAGAGUCCCAUGUACGAAGACGCAUGGUAUCGCCGACAAGACGUGCCGAGGAGCCUUCCAAAAGGACGACAGAGGACCAGCCAUGGCGUCGCCGAAGCGAAACGAGCGCAGGAAUUGUCUGC